UAAAGUGCGAUAUGAAGUGCGAUUUGCAUGAAUCUGUGAGUCAUCAUAUCUUUGAACGCAACUUGCGCCCGGCAACGGGCAUGUCUGUUUGAGUGGCGAACAACGAUGGAUCUGUUUGUCAAUGGCAAUCGAUCUGACGUGCCGGCAUUCGAUGCGGGUGAAACAGCGCAUGGGUCGGCGCGACGGCAGCCUGGGCCAGAGAGCAAUGCUCUUUCAGAAUGCCCGUCGCCAAGACCGGAUAUCACACACUGCCCUCAAAUCAGACAAGACGACCCGCUGAACUUAA
rnacentral:misc_RNA from 1 species